CAGUAGCGUAUAUUAAAGUUGUUGCAGUUAAAAUGCUCGUAGUUGAAGUUCGGAUGCAGCAGAGCUUGGAAACGCUGUUAUGGUGCUUCCGUUGCUUUUGCUUGUCCACAGUGCGUUGCAAGUACGUAUGUGCUUGUGCGUGCAUUUUACUUUGAGAAACAUAGAGUGUUCCACGCAUGUUACGGCAUGAAUAUUCCAGCAUGGGAUAAUCUGGUACGACUUCCAAUCUGCCAUUUUGGUUCGUAGGUUGGAAGUAAUGAUUAAUAGGGACUGUCGGGGGCAUUGGUAUUUGACUGUCAGAGGUGAAAUUCUUAGAUUCGUUGAGGACCAACCACUGCGAAAGCAUUUGUCAAGGAUGUCUCCAUUAA
rnacentral:rRNA from 1 species